UAUAUAUAAGUGUUUAUGCACAAAAAUUUUUGAAAUUUUAAGUAAUAAAUUUUAUUUAUUGUAUAUAA
rnacentral:tRNA from 1 species